rnacentral:sRNA from 1 species
AUGCCAGGGUCAAAAGUCAAGCUUCCACGUUGUGUUUACACAUAAGUGGAAGCUUGACUUUAUGACCCGCCCCAUAAUGAGGAUAAAAGUGAGGCGUCAGCCUCACGAUAUCCGAAUUAGGGGGCAGGAUUGCGGAAGCACGAAGUGCGGAGCAAUCCGUAUG